CCUACGGGGGGCUGCAGUGGGGAAUUUUCCGCAAUGGGCGAAAGCCUGACGGAGCAAUACCGCGUGAGGGAUGACGGCCUAUGGGUUGUAAACCUCUUUUUUCAGGGAGGAAUCAAUGACGUGUACCUGAGGAAUAAGCAUCGGCUAACUCCGUGCCAGCAGCCGCGGUAAGACGGAGGAUGCAAGUGUUAUCCGGAAUCACUGGGCGUAAAGCGUCUGUAGGUGGUCAAAUAAGUCAACUGUUAAAUCUUGAGGCUCAACCUCAAAAUCGCAGUCGAAACUAUUCGACUAGAGUAUAGUAGGGGUAAAGGGAAUUUCCAGUGGAGCGGUGAAAUGCGUAGAGAUUGGAAAGAACACCGAUGGCGAAGGCACUUUACUGGGCUAUUACUAACACUGAGAGACGAAAGCUAGGGUAGCAAAUGGGAUUAGAUACCCAGGUAGUC
rnacentral:rRNA from 1 species